GUUGUAGCCAUUAUUCCACUAUUUUUCUGAGUUUUCCUUGCUCUUUUGGAUUGCUAAGACCCGUCGACUGCUCGUGCUUCGGAGUCGGAUCAGGUUUAGUUGCUUGUCAAGUUUUCACGUGGAUUUGCAAGCAGGUUAUGAUCUGAGAGAGUCUGGUGAUCUCCGCAUUUACUUUUCUUCGGAGGUUCCAUUUAUUUUUGAUAAACUGUAAAACUGUUUUAUUCUUAGACCGCAGUAGUAACUAGACGUCUUUAUUAUUACUGUAUAUUUUGUCGGAUUGG